GAUGAACGCUGGCGGCGUGCCUAAUACAUGCAAGUCGAGCGAAUGGAUUAAGAGCUUGCUCUUAUGAAGUUAGCGGCGGACGGGUGAGUAACACGUGGAUAACCUGCCCAUAAGACUGGGAUAACUCCGGGAAACCGGGGCUAAUACCGGAUAACAUUUUGAACCGCAUGGUUCGAAAUUGAGAGGCGGCUUCGGCUGUCACUUAUGGAUGGACCCGCGUCGCAUUAGCUAGUUGGUGAGGUAACGGCUCACCAAGGCAACGAUGCGUAGCCGACCUGAGAGGGUGAUCGGCCACACUGGGACUGAGACACGGCACAGACUCCUACGGGAGGCAGCAGUAGGGAAUCUUCCGCAAUGGACGAAAGUCUGACGGAGCAACGCCGCGUGAGUGAUGAAGGCUUUCGGGUCGUAAAACUCUGUUGUUAGGGAAGAACAAGUGCUAGUUGAAUAAGCUGGCACCUUGACGGUACCUAACCAGAAAGCCACGGCUAACUACGUGCCAGCAGCCGCUGUAA
rnacentral:rRNA from 1 species